rnacentral:rRNA from 1 species
UUUUAUGGAGAGUUUGAUCCUGGCUCAGGACGAACGCUGGCGGCGUGCCUAAUACAUGCAAGUCGAGCGAACAGAGAAGGAGCUUGCUCCUUUGACGUUAGCGGCGGACGGGUGAGUAACACGUGGGCAACCUACCUUAUAGUUUGGGAUAACUUCGGGAAACCGGGGCUAAUACCGAAUAAUCUAUUUCACUUCAUGGUGAAAUACUGAAAGACGGUUUCGGCUGUCGCUAUAAGAUGGGCCC